rnacentral:misc_RNA from 1 species
AAGUCAUAACAAGGUAUCCGUAGGUGAACCUGCGGAUGGAUCAUUACUAAAGUAUCCAUCCUACGUUUUGUGAACUGUUUUGACUAUCAUAGUCAGUGUCCGGUGUGCCAUCGAUGCUGACUACAAUGAAUGUAUAUUUUAAACUGACUGAGAGUACUAUACUUAUAGUAACCAAUGAGAACUUUUAGCAACGGAUCUCUUGGCUCUC